CCGCACAGACACCUCGUUUCCCCCGCCCCGUGCCGGCGGGAGAGACCAGCCGGCGCUUCCGCGGCCCCGGCCGGUGAGGCCCCGCUCCCGCCCCUUGGCCGCCAUCAGCUCCGCCGAGUACCGGCGCUGACGAGGCCGCCGGGACGAUGACUUUCCAGUGGACGGCAGUGGCUACCUUCCUGUACGGCGAAAUCGGAGUAAUUCUCGUGCUCUGCCUGCCGUUCAUUUCUCCGCUGAGAUGGCAGAAGAUUUUUAUGUUUCCUCUAUGGAGCAAAAUGGCAGUAUUUUGGAACAAGAUGUUUCUUACAAUAAUAGUUCUGUUGAUUGUCUUGUUUCUUGAUGCUGUUAGAGAAGUCAGGAAAUACUCAUCUGUUCAUGUGAAUGAAAAGGCUGCAAAUGUCAACAGUAGUGCCUUUGAUCAUAUUCAGAUGAAACUCUUUCGGUCACAAAGAAACCUGUAUCUCUCAGGUUUUUCCUUAUUUCUUUGGCUUGUAUUGAGACGUACUGUUACCCUUCUUACUCAGUUGGCAAAGGAGAUGGCAUCUCAUGCAGCUCUGGAAACACAAGUAAAUGAUGCUACUGAAGCAGCCAAGAAAUACAUGGCUGAGAAUGAAAGGCUGCAGGAGGCUUUGAGUGGAAAAGGAAAUGGUAAAAAGAAAGAGUCAACAGAUGCAACUGAGGAAAAGUUGAAGGAGGAAGUUGAACAUUUGAAAGCAGAGCUACAGAAGACAUCACACGCUUUCCAUAAGGCAAAAACUGAAGUGGCUGCAGUUAAAAAGCAGUCUGAAGGCCUCAGAAGAGAAUAUGAUCAUCUGAUGAAAGAAUUUGAACAGCUUCAGAGAUUGCUCAGCUGAUCUCUGUGUUCGAUUCAAGACCACCGUGCAUGGCCUGUCCUUGUGCUUCCCUGUGUGAUGAGCCAUAGUAGUCCUGCAUUUCUAACAGAUUUGUGGUCUAAAACACCCAUCCUUACCAUCUUCUGUUUACCUCUGAGUGGAAAGAACAGAAGCAAAACUUAAAUAAAGCAGAAGAUAAGAAAGAGCUGUAAGUGCAUCAGAGGCGAAUGGCAUCGCUACAGUUGCUUGAAUGAGAAAAGUCUUGUGCUGUCGAUGUUCUGAUGUGUACCUGAAACAAAACUUGAUUUUUCUGAAAAGCACGUGCAUUGCAAGUCACUAUUCAGAUUCCUCUAAUAUAUCAGUUGCCAAAAUGUUCUGUGUUGCAAAUAAAAUGUUAAAUGGCUUACUGGAUUUACCAUGGAGUUUGUCACUGCUCUCAUGAGGAGAAACUCAAAAAUCUUUCAACUCCACCUGGAGCAACCUGUUUUCCAGGCUUUUUCCUCCCAUAAUGGUAACAGAUCACCAUUGCUUGUAGCAUUUGAGUGAGGUUGUAUAUCACUCUAGAUCAUAAAAACAAUUACUUAAACCUUCUUUUGGCACCUGUUUGGAGCCUUAAAAAUUCAGUUCCCAGUGGGUUGAAGAAGGCUGAAAGCUUUCUAUCAGUGGAAAACUGAAUGACAAUCAGUCUAAGGAAAAUAAAGAAAGAAACAUUGCAUUUCUAAAUCCACCUCACUAGCUUGUGACUUUCACUUUAGCCACAUGGAUUUGAGUGUAUUUUAACAAACAAUAUUUUGCAUGCCUCUGGUUUAUUUUUCUUUAAUAUAUUGGGAUAUUUCAGUUUUGGGUUGGCUGGUAUUAGCAGUCUUUACUUUUACACUCUUUAGAUUGGUUUACUCCUUAUGUACCAUCUAACUUCUUUUGCCUUGCUAAGUAAAAAAAUAUUUUUAAACAUAGAUAGUUUGGUUUGUUCUGUUUUGUUUUCAUGGAUACAAUACCUCAAAUAAAUGUGCACUGUUUUGCAUAAGACCUUUUUGGAAAGUUGUUUUGAGUUUAUUUGUUGUAUUGAGUUAGUUUGUUCCAGUUUAUAUUUGAAAGUUUGAUAUGUUUGUUAUAUUAAAGGGAUUGUUUAAAUUC